rnacentral:rRNA from 1 species
UACAAAGGGGGCUAGCGUUGCUCGGAAUCACUGGGCGUAAAGGGUGCGUAGGCGGGUCUUUAAGUCAGGGGUGAAAUCCUGGAGCUCAACUCCAGAACUGCCUUUGAUACUGAAGAUCUCGAGUUCGGGAGAGGUGAGUGGAACUGCGAGUGUAGAGGUGAAAUUCGUAGAUAUUCGCAAGAACACCAGUGGCGAAGGCGGCUCACUGGCCCGAUACUGACGCUGAGGCACGAAAGCGUGGGGAGCAAACAGG